rnacentral:rRNA from 1 species
UACGUAGGGUGCAAGCGUUGUCCGGAAUUAUUGGGCGUAAAGAGCUCGUAGGCGGUUCGUCGCGUCGGCUGUGAAAUCCCGAGGCUCAACCUCGGGCCUGCAGCCGAUACGGGCAGACUAGAGUUCGGCAGGGGAGACUGGAAUUCCUGGUGUAGCGGUGAAAUGCGCAGAUAUCAGGAGGAACACCGGUGGCGAAGGCGGGUCUCCGGGCCGAUACUGACGCUGAGGAGCGAAAGCUAGGGGAGCAAACGGG